rnacentral:rRNA from 1 species
AUUGAACGCUGGCGGCAGGCCUAACACAUGCAAGUCGAGCGGUAGCACAGAGAGCUUGCUCUCGGGUGACGAGCGGCGGACGGGUGAGUAAUGUCUGGGAAACUGCCUGAUGGAGGGGGAUAACUACUGGAAACGGUAGCUAAUACCGCAUAAUGUCGCAAGACCAAAGUGGGGGACCUUCGGGCCUCAUGCCAUCAGAUGUGCCCAGAUGGGAUUAGCUAGUAGGUGGGGUAACGGCUCACCUAGGCGACGAUCCCUAGCUGGUCUGAGAGGAUGACCAGCCACACUGGAACUGAGACACGGUCCAGACUCCUACGGGAGGCAGCAGUGGGGAAUAUUGCACAAUGGGCGCAAGCCUGAUGCAGCCAUGCCGCGUGUGUGAAGAAGGCCUUCGGGUUGUAAAGCACUUUCAGCGGGGAGGAAGGCGUUAAGGUUAAUAACCUUGGCGAUUGACGUUACCCGCAGAAGAAGCACCGGCUAACUCCGUGCCAGCAGCCGCGGUAAUACGGAGGGUGCAAGCGUUAAUCGGAAUUACUGGGCGUAAAGCGCACGCAGGCGGUCUGUCAAGUCGGAUGUGAAAUCCCCGGGCUCAACCUGGGAACUGCAUUCGAAACUGGCAGGCUAGAGUCUUGUAGAGGGGGGUAGAAUUCCAGGUGUAGCGGUGAAAUGCGUAGAGAUCUGGAGGAAUACCGGUGGCGAAGGCGGCCCCCUGGACAAAGACUGACGCUCAGGUGCGAAAGCGUGGGGAGCAAACAGGAUUAGAUACCCUGGUAGUCCACGCCGUAAACGAUGUCGAUUUGGAGGUUGUGCCCUUGAGGCGUGGCUUCCGGAGCUAACGCGUUAAAUCGGCCGCCUGGGGAGUACGGCCGCAAGGUUAAAACUCAAAUGAAUUGACGGGGGCCCGCACAAGCGGUGGAGCAUGUGGUUUAAUUCGAUGCAACGCGAAGAACCUUACCUGGUCUUGACAUCCACAGAACUUUCCAGAGAUGGAUUGGUGCCUUCGGGAACUGUGAGAUAGGUGCUGCAUGGCUGUCGUCAGCUCGUGUUGUGAAAUGUUGGGUUAAGUCCCGCAACGAGCGCAACCCUUAUCCUUUGUUGCCAGCGGUCCGGCCGGGAACUCAAAGGAGACUGCCAGUGAUAAACUGGAGGAAGGUGGGGAUGACGUCAAGUCAUCAUGGCCCUUACGACCAGGGCUACACACGUGCUACAAUGGCAUAUACAAAGAGAAGCGACCUCGCGAGAGCAAGCGGACCUCAUAAAGUAUGUCGUAGUCCGGAUUGGAGUCUGCAACUCGACUCCAUGAAAGUCGGAAUCGCUAGUAAUCGUAGAAUCAGAAUGCUACGGUGAAUACGUUCCCGGGCCU